rnacentral:rRNA from 1 species
UGCAAGUCGAGCGGCAGCGGAAAGUAGCUUGCUACUUUGCCGGCGAGCGGCGGACGGGUGAGUAAUGUCUGGGAAACUGCCUGAUGGAGGGGGAUAACUACUGGAAACGGUAGCUAAUACCGCAUGACCUCGAAAGAGCAAAGUGGGGGACCUUCGGGCCUCACGCCAUCGGAUGUGCCCAGAUGGGAUUAGCUAGUAGGUGAGGUAAUGGCUCACCUAGGCGACGAUCCCUAGCUGGUCUGAGAGGAUGACCAGCCACACUGGAACUGAGACACGGUCCAGACUCCUACGGGAGGCAGCAGUGGGGAAUAUUGCACAAUGGGCGCAAGCCUGAUGCAGCCAUGCCGCGUGUGUGAAGAAGGCCUUCGGGUUGUAAAGCACUUUCAGCGAGGAGGAAGGCGUUAAGGUUAAUAACCUUAGCGAUUGACGUUACUCGCAGAAGAAGCACCGGCUAACUCCGUGCCAGCAGCCGCGGUAAUACGGAGGGUGCAAGCGUUAAUCGGAAUUACUGGGCGUAAAGCGCACGCAGGCGGUUUGUUAAGUCAGAUGUGAAAUCCCCGAGCUUAACUUGGGAACUGCAUUUGAAACUGGCAAGCUAGAGUCUUGUAGAGGGGGGUAGAAUUCCA